UCUGGACCCCUUUCAUGGUGAAAAUUUCUUCAGAAGUCUCAAGACUGUUAGAUCUGGAUCUCUCUCUUGAUAAUGGUAGUAAGCAUGUGUACCAAAUUCUGAACAGUAACAACAUGCUAUAGGGCUACAUUUAAGAAAAACUACUUUUUACAUCUGUUUACUUGAUAUAAGUAUAAUCUGCAUUACAAUCUGAAGAUAUGAACGUGCUUUUUGCAGUGUGCAUAGCUAUCUUUAAGGAGGUACAUGAGUGCAAACUGACAUAAAAGCUGCAUGAUCAGAGCUGAAGGUUUUUAUUCCAUGGAAAAUAGAAAACUACCCUUCACAUGGACAGAUACUAUGCUGUAUGGAAGGGGAGGCAGGUUCACUUCUACAUUUCAUAGAGAAGUUCCCAUCUUCCAUGUUUUCAAAGCUAUAUAUGAUAUUAAUCCCUUAUCUACUGCUACACUAAUAUGUGGAGCAACUGCUGCAGGGCUGUAGCGAUGUACUGUCACACAAAUAUCAAACUCAUCCUCAGGUUUUCAACAACAGCUUUCCACAAAAAUUCAAGUGAAACGCAAAAUCUUAAGACCUAAACUUUAAGGUGUCCUGAAGCACAGGCACAUUUAUACAGAAAACCACUUUCACAAGGAUGAUGAGCAGGAUCAAUAGUUGUGUUCUUAAGGCACAUUGGAAUUCCCCACAAUAAAAUUAAUCUUUUAGGAAUGAGUUUCUCUUGAGCUCCAUGUACUAGCAUAAAAUGAGCUCGACCAGCAACGAAUGGCUGUUCUUUACUAUCCUACAUGCCAAUCUUGUAAUUUAUCUUCUCAUUAAAACAGCACAAACUGAGAAGUCCUUACUAAGGACAGUCCGCUGCUUUGGAGACUGGGCCAGGCCAGCAUUCCUGGAUGACUUUAGCUUCCUCACCACCUUAUCCAAAACUGUGGACCAGAUGGCACCCGCUGUCAUUUCAGCUAUCUUUUUCAGAAAGUAUUUACACAGGAUGAUGAGCUCCCCCAGUCCCAGCUCUCUCAGACUUUCCCCAUAAGAGAGAUGAUGUGGUCCCUUCAUCGUCUUCACAGCCCUGGACUCUCUCCAGUAUGAGGAUGUCUCUUUUGGUCUGGACAGCCCAGAACUGGACACAGCACUCUAGGUGUGGCCUCACCUCAAAGAUGAAGGGAAGGAUCACCUCCCACAACCAGCUGGCAACACUCCACCUCAGGAUACCACUAGCAUUCCUUGUGGCAGGGGCACUCUGUGGGCUCAUUCUGGGGUAAAAGCUACUGUUGUUUUUAAUAUUAGCAAUAGCAAUUUAAUUCUGGAAUUUUUCUUCUAUCCUAUACUUCUGUUACUUUCAAGACAUCAAUACAGUUUGACAGUGAAAAGAUGAUGAAACCUCUAAAUUUGAUUCAACUGAAAGAUACGGAGCUAAGUUUUGGUGCAGUUAAAGCAGAAAUUUUUUGCUGCAAGAACUGAGAAACUAUUAUCAGCUAAAGCAUUUUGACUCUCCCACUACUGAGGCGAUUACAAAAUGAAUGCAAAAUUGUUCAUUCUAAUCAGAAUAUUAAGUUCUAACCACAGCAUUAAAUGUAAACAGUUUGAUUUUCAAUAUCACAGGGCAACUGUACAUUUGGAAGAUGUAUAAAGAAGUAAGGCUGUUGUAUUAACUAAGCAGAUGAACAUGGAAAUUACUCAUGCAUGGAAUCUCUGUGGAUCUCUGCAGGAUCACUUAAAAAAACAAAGCAUGCUUCAAACAGAUCUAUGAAAUAGCAAAUUUGCUGCUCACAUAAAUAUUUUUAAACCAUAUUUUAACAGUUAACUGUAGUACAAUACCUAAACCUACCUAAU